rnacentral:misc_RNA from 1 species
AAGGGGACUGGAGAAAUAUUUCUCGCAACUUUGUGACCACUAGGACACCAACUCAAGUGGCUAGUCAUGCUCAGAAGUAUUUUAUCAGGCAGAGCACAGGAAGGAAGGAUAAACGGAGGUCCAGCAUCCAUGAUAUUACUACCGUCAAUCUUCCAAACAUCGAGUCUGCUUCACCUGAUGGGAAGAAAUCAUCUCCAGAUCAUUCUACCACAAGUCUACAAUCACA